rnacentral:pre_miRNA from 1 species
CUUUUUGGAGGCCCUGGGCUGUGGGUCUGCUUGCACAAGCCCAGGGCCCACAGCCCAGGGCCGGCCCUGAG